rnacentral:misc_RNA from 1 species
GAUGAAGAACGUAGCGAAAUGCGAUAAGUAAUGUGAAUUGCAGAAUUCCGUGAAUCAUCGAGUCUUUGAACGCACAUUGCGCCCCCUGGUAUUCCGGGGGGCAUGCCUGUCCGAGCGUCAUUGCUGCCCUCAAGCCCGGCUUGUGUGUUGGGCCCCGUCCUCCGAUUCCGGGGGACGGGCCCGAAAGGCAGCGGCGGCACCGCGUCCGGUCCUCGAGCGUAUGGGGCUUUGUCACCCGCUCUGUAGGCCCGGCCGGCGCUUGCCGAUCAACCCAAAUUUUUAUCCAGGUUGACCUCGGAUCAGGUAGGGAUACCCGCUGAACUUAAGCAUAUCAAUAGCGGAGGA